rnacentral:rRNA from 1 species
AGCGGCGGACGGGGGAGUAACGCGUGGGUAACCUGCCUCAUACAGGGGAGUAACAGUCAGAAAUGACUGCUAAUACCGCAUAAGACCACGGUACCGCAUGGUACAGUGGUAAAAACUCCGGUGGUAUGAGAUGGACCCGCGUCUGAUUAGGUAGUUGGUGGGGUAACGGCCUACCAAGCCGACGAUCAGUAGCCGACCUGAGAGGGUGACCGGCCACAUUGGGACUGAGACACGGCCCAG